rnacentral:tRNA from 1 species
UCCUGGUUAGCUCAGUUGGUAGAGCGCUUUACUGGAUAUUGAGAGGUUCCAGGUUCUAUACCAGGAUUAGGCG